rnacentral:rRNA from 1 species
GCUGUCGCUAUGGGGAUGGCCCCGCGGUGCAUUAGCUAGUUGGUAAGGUAAAGGGCUUUACCAAGGCGAUGAUGCAUAGCCCGAGUUGAGAGACUGAUCGGGCCACAUUGGGGACUGAGACACGGGCCCAAAACUCCUACGGGGAGGGCAGCAGUAGGGAAUCUUCCAUAAUGGACGCAAGUCUGAUGGAGCAACGCCGCGUGAGUGAAGAAGGUUUUCGGAUCGUAAAGCUCUGUUGUUGGUGAAGAAGGAUAGAGGUAGUAACUGGCCUUUAUUUGACGGUAAUCAACCAGAAAGUCACGGCUAACUACGUGCCAGCAGCCGCGGUAAU